AUCCAACUGCUUUACUUCUGGCAGUCAGACACGGAGGGUUCCUGCAGCACAUCCUGGGUAUGUCUGUACUCUGAAGACAACUCAGGAGGGUCAACAGGUGCUUUAGUUUCUGUCCAGCCCUCGGACUCGUGAUGACCAACCCCGCCGUCAGCGCAGGGACAGAGAGAGGCCGGUGCUGUCACACACAGGGGAGACGACAGAACCUGCAACAACAGGCUGGAGUCACUCGUGCCUUUUACAGACCUCCAGUUUCACAGAGCAGCGAGGAGGGAUGAUUCACCCUGUAAGGACAUCACGGACCGUACAGCACUCACACGAACCCAGCGGGGUGUAAAUGCUGCCUCGGGAACGCGGUACCGCCCGCGCCGGCUGAGCUCCAGUGCAGAGCCGAGGGAUCGGACCGGACAAGGUGUCUGACCUGACAAGGCAAGCAACAGAAGUCCCCAUUUAUCUGGACUGCGAUCCAUGUCACAGUUCUGGGGCCUUCACUGUAUGCAAAUAAAGGUAAUUUUUUUUCCGAUGGAAAAGCAUAGAAAGAUGGAGCUGUGGAUAGAAGAUAACACAGAGCAGAUCAACAGUAUGGACUAGAGAGGGAUAUAAAGGAAAAUCCGGGCAAAGCUCCUCUCCAGAGCACUUUUACACAGUUGCUCUCAUCAAGCAAGGCCUUCAUGAUGACAUAAAAAGCUAUAAGUAAAAACCCAGAUAAAAUAAACAAGAAAACCCUUUUAAAGGAGAGCUGUGCUCUGGGGAAUAAAAAAAAAAAAAAAGGAAAAAAACCAAACCAAAACAAGAAACAAGACAAACAAAAGAAAUUGCAAACCAAAAUAAUUAUUCCAGUAGGAGCCAUAAAAUUAAAGGCUUUGGCCAGAAACCACUAAAUGAAGGAACAAAGGGUUGACUCCUCAUUUUCAGUAAGUGACACAGACUCAGCCAGGGAAGUGUAUCAAGCACUUGUAACAAUAUUCAAAUGCUUGAAGAGUCUUGUUCCAACCCCUCAGUGGUAUUCCAGGGGCUAGGAGGGCAGGAGAGCUGCUGCUGCUGCUGCUGUUGUUUCUUCCACCACCUCCACGGAGAGUUGGAAACAAGAACCAGAAGUUAAACCGCUGCUGGGGAAAGGAGCACGAACCCCAGAGUAUGCAGAUCCCCAAACCACAGGAAAUUAAAUGUGGAUUCCCAAAGGAUGGCAGUGCUCAGACUUGUGCUUCCCAUAUCACUGCAGAUGUUCCUCUGUUCUGGGCAGCUUGAUGGGGACGAAGAGUUCACACACUCCAAGUGACCACGGGCUUGAUGAAAGCCCAGAGGAAUUCAGCACCAGUUCUUUCACACCUGCCAAGUUGAUUCAACUCUGAAUCUAAGAGACAGUUCUAAAGGAUUUCUGGGUUUAGGGGAAACUAGACCAGCAGCACCACCUUUAGUGAUCACCACAGGAAAUGCUAAUUCAUGGCUGCACCCUCUGAACUGCAGUGCUAACAAUGGACACCUUCCCCUCACAUCUCAAUACAGGUGUGUGAAUACAGGUAAUAAAUACAGGCAGUAGAGGCCCAACUGCACCAGGAACUGUGGAUCUGUAUCCCUGGAUCUGCCCAAGGACAAGGGCAACACUGGCAGGAUAACAUCUCCCACAGAAAAGAUCCCAUCUUGGAAUGUAUGGAUCAGUCCAUGUUCCAAAAUGAACCCUCUCCCUGAAUAAGGAAUAAUUUCUUUUAGGCUCACACAGCUCUAAAAAACACAGAAUAUAUGUUUCAAUAGCAAAGGGUUCACAGCAGUCAACAUGAUCAUGAGUUCCUAACCCAUGCAUGUUAUUCCACAGGAAAAUCAUGGAUGGAAUAGAAAAUGAAAGCUUAAUGGUGUUUAGAGAUUCAGGUAAGUAAAGGUGAAUGAUUAA